UUGCUUGACUCCAUUAUUCUCAAUUUAGUUCGUUUUAAUUACUAUAAAUCGCUGUGCAGGCCCUUGAAGAAGCACAUCUUCAAGAUGAUGUCGUUUAUGAUAAUUCUUGGGGUUAUUGCUGGGACGGCAGUAGCCAUGCCCACAAAAGGGCCCCAGUGCUUUGGUGAGGGUAGGUUCCCUAACCCCAAUACUUGUGGUGGCUUCUUCGACUGUAUACCUGAUGGCACUGGGGGCUAUGAAAUGUCUUUUGACGACUGUAAUGGAUUUGUCUA